UGGGGAAUCUUCCGCAAUGGACGAAAGUCUGACGGAGCAACGCCGCGUGAGUGAAGACGGCCUUCGGGUUGUAAAGCUCUGUGAUCCGGGACGAAAGAGCCUGAGGUAAAUAGCCUAAGGAAGUGACGGUACCGGAAAAGCAAGCCACGGCUAACUACGUGCCAGCAGCCGCGGUAAUACGUAGGUGGCAAGCGUUGUCCGGAAUUAUUGGGCGUAAAGCGCGCGCAGGCGGCUUACUAAGUCCUUCUUAAAAGUGCGGGGCUUAACCCCGUGAUGGGAUGGAAACUGGAAAGCUGGAGUAUCGGAGAGGAAAGUGGAAUUCCUAGUGUAGCGGUGAAAUGCGUAGAAAUUAGGAAGAACACCGGUGGCGAAGGCGACUUUCUGGACGAAAACUGACGCUGAGGCGCUAAAGCGUGGGGAGCAAACAGG
rnacentral:rRNA from 1 species